UACGAAGGGGGCAAGCGUUGUUCGGAUUUACUGGGCGUAAAGGGCGCGCAGGCGGCUCUUCAAGUCAGAUGUGAAAGCCCCGGGCUCAACCUGGGAACUGCAUUUGAGACUGAAGAACUCGAGUUCGGGAGAGGAUGGCGGAAUUCCCAGUGUAGAGGUGAAAUUCGUAGAUAUUGGGAAGAACACCGGUGGCGAAGGCGGCCAUCUGGACCGAGACUGACGCUGAGGCGCGAAAGCGUGGGGAGCAAACAGG
rnacentral:rRNA from 2 species